GACCGUGAACUGAGGGGAAUUGUCUCCCCCUUCAGAUCCGGCCGCGGCCAAGCCGCGCAUUUCAACACUGCAAGGAG
ncrna:unclassified sequences L20-Deltaproteobacteria ribosomal protein leader